AAUAACUACAGUAUGCUUGCAAAUGAAGAGAAGCGCACAAGAGAAAGCACAAGAUGCUUGGAGGAGGAAGAGAAGCACAGCAGAUCAGAGAGGAGGCAGCACGCCUUCUUCUGCAACAAAUAGCACAGGAUCAAGACUGUCCCAUGAAACAGGAAUUUGAAUCCUGACAGGUAUGAAGGCCAUUCUGCAUCUCUCUCCAGGAACCAGAA